rnacentral:rRNA from 1 species
UAGCCUCAACUCAUGUGAGACUACCCCCUGAAUUUAAGCAUAUUAAUAAGGGGAGGAAAAGAAACUAAAUAGGAUUCUCUUAGUAGCGGCGAGCGAAAAGGGAAAAGUCCAGCCG